rnacentral:rRNA from 1 species
UACAGAGGGGGCAAGCGUUGUUCGGAAUUACUGGGCGUAAAGGGCGCGUAGGCGGCCGGUUAAGUCGAACGUGAAAUCCCCGGGCUCAACCCGGGAACUGCGUCCGAUACUGGCAGGCUUGAAUCCGGGAGAGGGAUGCGGAAUUCCAGGUGUAGCGGUGAAAUGCGUAGAUAUCAGGAGGAACACCGGUGGCGAAGGCGGGUCUCUGGGCCGAUAUUGACGCUGAGGAGCGAAAGCGUGGGGAGCGAACAGG